rnacentral:rRNA from 1 species
AACGAACGCUGGCGGCAUGCCUAACACAUGCAAGUCGAACGAGACCUUUGGGUCUAGUGGCGCACGGGUGCGUAACGCGUGGGAAUCUGCCCUUGGGUUCGGAAUAACAGUGAGAAAUUGCUGCUAAUACCGGAUGAUGUCUUCGGACCAAAGAUUUAUCGCCCAGGGAUGAGCCCGCGUAGGAUUAGCUAGUUGGUGGGGUAAUGGCCUACCAAGGCGACGAUCCUUAGCUGGUCUGAGAGGAUGACUAGCCACACUGGGACUGAGACACGGCCCAGACUCCUACGGGAGGCAGCAGUGGGGAAUAUUGGACAAUGGGCGCAAGCCUGAUCCAGCAAUGCCGCGUGAGUGAUGAAGGCCUUAGGGUUGUAAAGCUCUUUUACCAGGGAUGAUAAUGACAGUACCUGGAGAAUAAGCUCCGGCUAACUCCGUG